UAUUGGUCAGUGUUUACAAGUGUGCAGGAGCAGCCUGGGAAAUCCUUGGUUGAAGUUGGAUUUUGCCUUUGGAAAACAGAGGAUGAGGUGAGAGGAUAAUACCAUGCUGUUUAUGAGAAAGCCUACCACUUGAAACCUACGAAGUUCCUUCCGGCUCUCUGGAGCAGUUCCCACGCCCAUGAGUCACCGUCCACAGGUCUUACACCUCCUAGAGGGCUGCGUACGUGGUGACAGUAGUUGUUCUCAGGAUGUUAGCUUCUAACUGCAAUUCGGGCCCUCAGAAGCGAGACUGACCAGGACUGGGACAAAUGGCUUUCCUCAUAAAGCCAAGCUGUCAAGAACCUUGGCCUUCUGACAGCUCUUCUGACAACCAAGCCUGCGUUGGACAUGUACAACGUUAUACUUAUUACAUAGUCAUUGAGCCUAUUUUGAUGCAUUAAAAUUCCAAAAUAUUAAA